CAUCGACAUUUCGAACGCACAUUGCGGUCCGUGGAGAACCAUCCAGGACCACUCCUGUCUGAGGGCCG
rnacentral:rRNA from 1 species